UUCGGCCAUACCAUGUUGAAAAUACCGGUUCCUAUCAUAGUACCGAAGUGAAGCAACGAUGGUUAUGAUUAGAAAUUAGAUGGGUGUUCGCUUGGGAACACCACGUAU